rfam:Schistosoma curassoni strain Dakar, Senegal genome assembly, scaffold: SCTD_scaffold0002921
AUCCAGCUGACGAGUCCCAAACAGGACAAAACGCGCGUCAAACUGGAU